rnacentral:lncRNA from 1 species
GUCCAGGUGGACAGAGACCACGUGUCUGUCCAGUCUUCUGAUUCUACCUCGCCCCAGGAGAGAUGGUGAAAUUAAAGCGGAAGCUUCGGGAAACUUCGAUGAAUUAUCCACACGGUGUCCCUUCUGCCUCCGGGAGCGCCUCCUGCGUGGACGGCGUCCUCCGCUCUUUCGUGGGUGUGUUCACAUGGUUCCCAUGAGCCCUACAGGGCAGGAGCUGCUUCUAUUCCCGCCUCCCAGAGACAGAGGCGUUGCGAGAGACACGCUGAAGAAUACCGCGGACGUCUGGCUGUCUGCCCUGAGCGCGGCCCUUUAGUGGGUCAGCCCUUGGACACCACGCCGCAAGGUCAUGAAGCCUCUGAGCCUCUACGUCCCAGCCCGUCGCGUGGACGUGCCAUCAGUAUCCCCUCUGCCAGCAGGGCGGGCUCGGGGGCACCAGCCGACUCCUCUGUGCUCCCGUAAUCUUUAUGGCUCCGUUACCGUCAUGCGGCCACAGUGUAGGCAUUUUUGAAUCGUGUAAUAUAAAACGUUAAUAAAGUGCGACUUUACGUGCAGAAUUUGACCUAG